rnacentral:tRNA from 1 species
CGCGGUGUCGUCGAGAUCGGAGGUGUUCAUGUGCGGCGUUCCUUGUCUAUCGGUUUUCAACAGGCGUGCACGCCGCGUUCCAGCGCCGGAUCAGUAGUCGGCGCGUUCCCGGUCGAUGCGC